rnacentral:rRNA from 1 species
UACGGAGGGUGCAAACGUUAAUCGGAAUUACUGGGCGUAAAGCGCGCGUAGGCGGUUUGGUAAGUGGGAUGUGAAAGCCCCGGGCUUAACCUGGGAACUGCAUUCCAAACUGCCAGGCUAGAGUUUGGUAGAGGGAGGUGGAAUUUCCUGUGUAGCGGUGAAAUGCGUAGAUAUAGGAAGGAACACCAGUGGCGAAGGCGGCCUCCUGGACCAAAACUGACGCUGAGGUGCGAAAGCGUGGGGAGCAAACAGG